rnacentral:lncRNA from 1 species
AUGGUCCUAUAUAUACCACAUAACAACAGUUCUGAUUCAUUGGAUAAGUUAGAGGUAAGCCAUGGUCCUACAUAUACCACAUAAAAACAGUCCUGAUUUAUUGGAUAAGUUAUAGGUAAGCCAUGGUCCUACAUAUACCAUAUAAGAACAGUCCUUCUGAUUCAUUGGAUAAGUUAGAGGUAAGCCAUGGUCCUACAUAUACCAUAUAAGAACAGUCCUUCUGAUUUAUUGGAUAAGUUAGAGGUAAGCCAUGGUCCUACAUAUACCAUAUAAGAACAGUCCUUCUCAUUCAUUGGAUAAGUUAGAGGUAAGCCAUGGCCCUACAUAUACCAUAUAAGAACAGUCCUGAUUCAUUGGAUAAGUUAGAGGUAAGCCAUGGUCCUACAUAUACCAUAUAAGAACAGUCCUUCUGAUUCAUUGGAUAAGUUAGAGGUAAGCCAUGGUCCUACAUAUACCAUAUAAGAACAGUCCUUCUGAUUCAUUGGAUAAGUUAGAGGUAAGCCAUGGUCCUACAUAUACCAUAUAAGAACAGUCCUUCUGAUUCAUUGGAUAAGUUAGAGGUAAGCCAUGGUCCUACAUAUACCAUAUAAGAACAGUCCUUCUGAUUCAUUUGAUAAGUUGGAGGUAAGCCAUGGUCCUACAUGUACCAUAUAAGAACAGUCCUUCUGAUUUAUUGGAUAAGUUAGAGGUAAGCCAUGGUCCUACAUAUACCAUAUAAGAACAGUCCUUCUGAUUCAUUGGAUAAGUUAGAGGUAAGCCAUGGUCCUACAUAUACCAUAUAAGAACAGUCCUUCUGAUUCAUUGGAUAAGUUAGAGGUAAGCCAUGGUCCUACAUAUACCAUAUAAGAACAGUCCUUCUGAUUCAUUGGAUAAGUUAGAGGUAAGCCAUGGUCCUACAUAUACCAUAUAAGAACAGUCCUUCUGAUUCAUUUGAUAAGUUGGAGGUAAGCCAUGGUCCUACAUAUACCAUAUAAGAACAGUCCUUCUGAUUCAUUGGAUAAGUUAGAGGUAAGCCAUGGUCCUACAUAUACCAUAUAAGAACAGUCCUUCUGAUUUAUUGGAUAAGUUAGAGGUAAGCCAUGGUCCUACAUAUACCAUAUAAGAACAGUCCUUCUCAUUCAUUGGAUAAGUUAGAGGUAAGCCAUGGCCCUACAUAUACCAUAUAAGAACAGUCCUGAUUCAUUGGAUAAGUUAGAGGUAAGCCAUGGUCCUACAUAUACCAUAUAAGAACAGUCCUUCUGAUUCAUUGGAUAAGUUAGAGGUAAGCCAUGGUCCUACAUAUACCAUAUAAGAACAGUCCUUCUGAUUCAUUGGAUAAGUUAGAGGUAAGCCAUGGUCCUACAUAUACCAUAUAAGAACAGUCCUUCUGAUUCAUUGGAUAAGUUAGAGGUAAGCCAUGGUCCUACAUAUACCAUAUAAGAACAGUCCUUCUGAUUCAUUUGAUAAGUUGGAGGUAAGCCAUGGUCCUACAUGUACCAUAUAAGAACAGUCCUUCUGAUUUAUUGGAUAAGUUAGAGGUAAGCCAUGGUCCUACAUAUACCAUAUAAGAACAGUCCUUCUGAUUCAUUGGAUAAGUUAGAGGUAAGCCAUGGUCCUACAUAUACCAUAUAAGAACAGUCCUUCUGAUUCAUUGGAUAAGUUAGAGGUAAGCCAUGGUCCUACAUAUACCAUAUAAGAACAGUCCUUCUGAUUCAUUGGAUAAGUUAGAGGUAAGCCAUGGUCCUACAUAUACCAUAUAAGAACAGUCCUUCUGAUUCAUUUGAUAAGUUGGAGGUAAGCCAUGGUCCUGCAUGUACCAUAUAAGAACAGUCCUCAUUCAUUGGAUAAGUUAGAGGUAAGCCAUGGUCCUACAUGUACCAUAUAAGAACAGUCCUUCUGAUUUAUUGGAUAAGUUAGAGGUAAGCCAUGGUCCUACAUAUACCAUAUAAGAACAGUCCUUCUGAUUCAUUGGAUAAGUUAGAGGUAAGCCAUGGUCCUACAUAUACCAUAUAAGAACAGUCCUUCUGAUUCAUUGGAUAAGUUAGAGGUAAGCCAUGGUCCUACAUAUACCAUAUAAGAACAGUCCUUCUGAUUUAUUGGAUAAGUUAGAGGUAAGCCAUGGUACCAUAUAUAAUAGGCAACAACAGUACUUCCGAUUCAUUGGUUAAUAUACCAGGGGGCCAUUUCAAAAAGCUCUUCGUGUGUUAAGAGCGACUUUAAGAACAACUGGUGAUAAUUUCUUACGCGCUAAACCAUAGCCAAUGAAUAUACCAUUUACCAU